GACGAACGCUGGCGGCGUGCUUAACACAUGCAAGUCGAACGGUAAGGCCCUUCGGGGUACACGAGUGGCGAACGGGUGAGUAACACGUGGGUGAUCUGCCCUGCACUUUGGGAUAAGCCUGGGAAACUGGGUCUAAUACCGAAUAUGACCAUGGACUUCACGGUUUGUGGUGGAAAGCUUUUGCGGUGUGGGAUGGGCCCGCGGCCUAUCAGCUUGUUGGUGGGGUAAUGGCCUACCAAGGCGACGACGGGUAGCCGGCCUGAGAGGGUGGACCGGCCACACUGGGACUGAGAUACGGCCCAGACUCCUACGGGAGGCAGCAGUGGGGAAUAUUGCACAAUGGGCGCAAGCCUGAUGCAGCGACGCCGCGUGGGGGAUGACGGCCUUCGGGUUGUUAAACCUCUUUCACCAGGACGAAGCGAGAGUGACGGUACCUGGAGAAGAAGGACCGGCC
rnacentral:rRNA from 1 species